CGAAGAGGGAUUUCUAAAACCCUCUUCCGAAUUCCAUUUCUUCGUCUCGCUCUCAUUUUUUCCCCCUCUCUCGCUCUCAUUUUCGGAUUAAAGAAACCCUGAAACCCGAUUCUCGCUCCUAUUUUUUCCCCCUCUCUCGCUCUCAUUUUCGGAUUCAAGAAACCCCAAAACCCGAUCUCCAUUUCGGGCGAGAUUCCGUUUCUAUCGGCUACUCGUUUCAGAGGUUUUUGUUUCUCAGAUUUCGCAUCGGAAGGUGGAGCUACUCUGCUGCAUCAACCACUGCACAUUUGGAGCAGAACUAAUCCUAAAGAUAAUAACUUGGUCAUACUCAGCCCAUAUUCAACCAGGACGUAGACCCACGCGACGAGGACGUGGACCCACGCGUGGGUUAGUUUUAGAGAGACUUACGCGUGAGGGUAGGGUGACGGUAGAGUUCCCACAGGACUGUCUUAGACCUGUUGGGGACAAUGCCAGGUUGUUUACAUCGGAGGUCGGUGUCUUAUGCCGAUCUUUGAUCCCCGCCACCACCCCCCGUUGGGCAGACGUGACAGAUGAUGUGCGGCAGCUCAUCCGUCAGCGCCUUACGGAUAAAUUUGUCUUGGAUUUGAGUGUUCCGUACAUUUCCUAUGCCGUCGACGACAUGGUCAAGGAGCGGUUCAAGGAGUACCGAUGUGACUUACACCAGCGGUACAAGCGGUGCAUAAGCCACGGGGAGGCCGUACUGUCCGGACCGCCGCACGUGACCCCUGACGACUGGCGGAUACUCUGCGAGAGAUUUUCGUCUGAGCCUUUUCAGAAGAGGAGCAGAAUAAAUUCUGCGAACAAGGGAAAGCUAGAAGUGAACCACGUAGCUGGUUCAAAGUCAUUUGUACGACUUCAUCACGAUAUGCGAGAUUCCGUCACUGGCCAGGAGCCUGGGCCAGUAGACCUCUACAGAGGGACUCACUGUCGGCAGGCGACGGGAUCUUGGGUACAUCCUAGAGCCAGCGAGAAUUGGGCGGCGAUGGACACCAUACGUAGUCAGCCUACUCCUGAUGAUGCUCAGCGGAGUGAGCUAGAGAUCAUGAGCGAGGUGCUUGGCACCUGUUCUGGAUAUGUGCGUGGGCUUGGCCAUGGCGCCAAGCUCAUGGCACCCGCUAAAGCUACCUCCAGCCGAUCCAUCGCUGGCGAGAGCGCCUUACGCCGAGCUGAUAUCUUAGAGAGAGAGGUUCAGCAUUUACGGGUCGUCGUUGAUGAGAUCAGAGACCAGCUGGAGAGGCAGAGGGAGGAGCAGGAGAGGAGGAUCGAGGAGACACGGGUAGAGCAUGAGCGACGGAUGAAGGAGAUGUUUCAGGCUAUCGCUGCACGCUUACCCACCGAUGCCCCACCACCUCCGUCUUCAUCUUUGUGAUUUUUUGUAUUUUAUUUAUGAUUUAUUUUAUAUACGAAUGUUAAACUUGUAUAUGUAUUUGUGCUUUGUGUUUGGAUGAAUGUGAAUGUGAAUAUGAUGAAAUAUAUUGUAACAGGUAUAUAUUAGGGAUUUUUGCCAGAAUUAUGAAAAAUACCAGUCUUUUA